GGAGAAGGAGUGUUGGGUGGACUAUUGUGAGUAGGAGAAGGGGUUUUUGGAGGUGUAAUUGGUACAUAUGGUGGUUGAUUACUAGGGGAAGGAGCUUUUGGUGGAGUAUAAGGACCACUAGGGGGAUUAUAAGUAGGAGGAGUGUUGGGUGGACUACUGUGAGUAGGAGAAGGGGCUUUUGGAGGUGUAAUUGGUACAUAUGGUGGUUGGUUACUAGGGGAAGGAGAUUUUGGAGGAGUGUAAGGAACAUUAGGAGGAUUGUAAGUAGGAGAAUGUGCUUUUGGAGGAGUUGAUACAUAUGGUGGUUCAUUGCUAGGGGAAGGAGUUUUUGGGGGAGUGUAAGGAACAUUAGGAGGAUUGUGGAUAGGAGAAGGAGUUUUUGGUGGUGAAAUUGGUGCAUAUGGUGGUUGAUUGCUAGGAGAAUGAGCUUUGGGGGGUGUGUAUGGAACAUUAGGUGGAUUGUAAAUGGGAGAAGGAGUUUUAGGAGGUGUACUUUUUGGAGGUGUAUAAGGAGUGUUGGGAGGACUAUGAGUAGGAGAAGGUGUUUUUGGUGGUGUAAUUGGUACAUAAGUAGGAGGUGUAAUUUUGGGGGGUGUAUAAGGAGUAUUGGGAGGACUAUAAGUAGGAGAAGGUGAUUUUGGUGGUGUAAUUGGUACAUAAGGUGGUUGAUUGGGAGAUGGAGCUUUUGGAGGAUUGUGAAUGGGAGAAGGAGUUUUUGGAGGUGUAGGAACAUAGGGAGGUUGAUUGGUAGGAGGAGUACUUUUGGGGGGUGUAUAAGGAAUAUUGGGAGGACUAUAAUUAGGAGAUGUUUUUGGUGGUGUAAUUGGUACAUGUGGUGGUGGUUGAUUUGGAGAUGGAGCUUUUGGAGGUGUAUAAGGAACAUUAGGAGGAUUGUAAAUAGGUGAAGGAGUUUUUGGAGGUGUAGGAACAUAGGGAGGACUAUAACUAGGAGAAGGUGUUUUUGGAGGUGUUAUUGGAACAUAAGGAGAAGGAGUAUUUUUUCUCACAGCCAUCACCACAACAAUAAUUUUCUGACCCUUUUCACAAUUAUCAUCUUUUCCACUAAUGAAGUAAAAAGGACCAGAUCUAUCAAAUUGAAACUUAGAGUCACCAUCCUCAAAUUUUUUGAUUGGAUUCUUCUUGUUGCACUUAUCAUAAUCCUCCUUGUUCACAACCAACACUGAAUUUGAGUCCUUCUUGUACUUAAAAACUACAACACACACAAAAAAAAAAUUAGCCUCAAACAAAUUAAAAUUUUAUAAAGAUUGACUUUUUGGCAUGCAUUGGAAAUUAAACUUACCAAGAAUAUCAUUGACUUGGAACCUAUUCUUCCCUGACCAUUGAUUGUAAUUUUCAUACGGGUUCAAAACCCACCCAUCUUUUCCACCAGCAUAAAAUGUAUAGGCUUGGGAACUUGAAAUUAAACUAAUAAAGAGAAACAAGAAGAGAAAAAUAUGUUUAUGAAGCUUCAUGACUAAUUAACUAGUUCUAUACAUAUAGUAUAUUAUAUAAUAAUAUUAUACAUAAACUUGAUGUGCUAUGUUCACAAAUAGCUUUAAGAAAAAAACUGAGUGGUGCUAGAUAGAGAUGAAUGAGAGUGAGAACUAAGAAGAGAGAUAUGGAAAGUGAGGUUUGAAAUGUGAUUGUGAAGAGAGUGAGAUAUAAAGGAAAAGUUUUCUUCGUUACCGUUGUAUUGAUGAAUGAAUGAAUUAUUUAAUUUAUUUUAUAUAUUAUAUUAUAUGAUGAGGACCAAGCGUGUAUAACGCGAGGGGAUUAUGUGUGAAUUAUAAAUGACUUACAAGUGGCAUAUGCUAAAUGAUACUGCCACCCUUCCAAGUCAUUUGUAUAAAAAGUUUAUCUAAAAACUCAUUUCAAUUAUUAAUGAACUAUUUUUUAGUUAUAUUAUUUAAUUAAAAGUUGGAUCAAUAAGUUCUUACAAAAAUGGUUUCUGAUGAAUAAAGUGCAUUUAACAUUUAAUUAAAAAAAGUGCAUUUAUUAUAGAGUUGUCGGGUGGAUAUUUAUUUGGGAAGGAUGUCGGGGUCUAAUAUCUGAGAUAAUAAAAUAUAUAAAAAGAAUAGCAUGAGUGAAUUUUCGUGGCCAUUAUUUUGAGGGUCGUGUGUGUGAACUGUGAAGUGUGAUGAAGUGAUGUAAAGUGAGAACUUUAUCCUACAGUCUACGACGAGACUAGAGGGCACUACGUGUUACUAAAAUGAUAGAGAUAUAAAGUCGGUAUAUAACAAAGUGAAUUGAUUCUAUAAGUUUAACUCAGGAGAAACUUGUGCUGCGUUACAUGAUUUUGACAUAAGAUUUAGAUAUAUUCACAAACGUAAAUAAAAAAAUUAAAUAAUAUAUUUUUUGGAAUAACUAAAUAAUAUAUAUUUUUAUGUCGAUUAAACACUGUGUUUAAAAUUUUGUCACCAUUCAAAUAUUUUCUUUAAUAUUUAUACACGAUGAAAUGGAAGAUUUUUUUGCAGAUAAAUAUCUUGUGCGGUGAUAUUAUACCCAAAAAAUGUGUUAUUGUAUAAUUUAAUAAUUUAAUUAAUACUCAACUAUUAUGUAUUUUUUAAAUUUUGAAUGACUUUUUUCAAUAAUAUUUAUAACAUAUUUAACAACUUGUUUGUAUAAAACUUUUGAAUUUUUCAACAAAUAAUGAUGUAAAUAUAAACUUUAAGCUUUUUGUGCUUAAUAACUCAUAUUUAAUUUAUCGUUUUAUUCUGAAUUUUUGUAGGAAAAUUUCUUAUAAUGUUUCAAGUAUUACUAAAAAAAUCAUUUAAAAAUUUGAAAAAUACACAACAAUUGAUAUAAAAUCACAUACCAAAAAUGAAAAUGAAAAUUUUAAAGGGAUUAAAAGUUGAUGAAUUUUUUUACAAAGACUAAAAAUAAAAUAGUAAAAUUUUAUAGAGACUAAAAACUUAUUUAUUUCUUAAACAUAGACAAAAUACACCAACUAUUCUUUAAAUUAAAUCAAAUUUUCGUCAAAAUACUUUAGUGUUUUUCCUUUCCAAUUUGAUCUUUAAGUGAUAGUUUUUUUUGUAACGUUAGACUUUAUAUUAUGAUUUGUUUGUAGAAAUAUUUUUUUAGUAGAUUUGUUAAACAAAAUCAUGUGGUCGUUACGAUGUCAACAUAUGUAUAAUGGCGUUGACGUAACAACUUAUAAAAAUAAAUAAUUUUUACAUUGAUUUUUUAACUUUGGGCAAAACUAUAUUUGUGAUCCUUUAAGUUUAGUUCAAUUUUCACUUAGUUCAAAUAUUUACCAUCUUCCUAUUUCAUUCCAUCUUUUAAAAAUCUAAAAACCAAAAUUUAUGAAUCCAAUAAAAAAACUCAAAAUCAACCAUGUAAAUAGAGAAAAAAAAAUGCUCAAAAAGAAAUUCACCGAUCCGACAAGGAUUAAAAGGAGUUGACUUAAAACAAAGAUAAUCCCACUAUAAAUCUACUAAAAAUGAGAAUAAAUAUUGUUAGUAAUUGGUGCUUUAAGAGUCUUUAAUUUGUUUAGACUUUCAAUCUUCUUUAAGAUUAUUUCUUUUGCACAAAUUAGUUGUUGAUUUUGUUUUUAAUUUUAUGGGUUUCAAGAUGCAUUUUAUUUAGUUGUUAUCGAAGUAAAUGAUGAAGAAAAAGAGGAUAACGAUGGAGAAGAUAAAGAAUGGACCUAAGCGGAAACUAAGCCAAACUUAAAAGAUUAUAAGUAUAUUUUUGUCAAAACUUAAAUGAGAAAAAUGUGUCAAAAUAUGUCAAACUUAAACGACCACAAUGACUUUCAUUUUUUUAGAUUGGAAAACUCGUGUAACUUUUUGUUAAAGGAUAGUGAAAAUGAAUGCAUCGUGGGACUUAUCCUCUAGGUUUUGAAUUUGGUUCUCAUGAAAGAAAACAAAACUAGCUAAUAUCCAACAAGGAAAAUGGGAGAAGAAGUUCGUGAAUACAAUGUCGAUCGAUCUGUUUUAGGUUGACUUAUAUGACAACUCAACAAUUAGUAGAUAAUGUGGACAUCGUCAAUCAACCCCUUGGUAGAACAUGCAACUACAUAUCAUGAAAUUAAAUAUUAACUUAAUGGUAGAACAUCUUUUGAGCAAGAUAAUUCUUGUUGCAGCCCAUCAACACUCAUAGACAUACUCGUAAUUCGAAUAUUUUUCAAAUAUGCAACUCUUUGCAAAUAUUUGAUAUGAUGAUGAUAUUGUUAGAAUAUAUUGUAUAAUUGGCACGAAUUAAAAUUGAGAAGAAAAGAGAAAAGCAGAAUGUUCUGGUAAAACGGAGAUUGAUUAACUGCAUAUCAAGAAUGUUCUUGAUUUUAUAAAUUUAUAUUAGUUUGAGCAUUAACUGUCAAAACAGAAUUCUAACAUUCUUAACUACUUCUAAUUAUAUUUUAGCAUUCCUAACUUACUAAAAAUCACUAUAAUUACAUUUGACAUGUCAUCUAACUCAAAGUAAUUCAAUUGAUGUUAAUCCAAGAUUGUUCCUCAUCUCGUGGAACUUCACCUUCUUCAAACUUUUGUUGGGAAAAAUCAGAGAUAAUUAGAGAUAAAUUUUCUCGCCUGUGCAGAAAAAUACAAUUCCAAGAGCAAUAAUAAUUGGUAGAAAAAAAUUAAAUAUGAGACACACAAUUUUAACAUGAAAAACUUCUCUCAAGUUGAGAGAAUAAAAACCACGUGACCUAAUCUAGUAAAAAUUUCCACUAUAAUAAUUAAUAGGUACACCGGAGUCUUCCUAAUAAGAAUAGGAAACAUCAAUCAACAAUAACAACUUUGUAACAACCUUCCACUAUAGUGGAUUGAUAGCGUUUCAGCAAGUGUACUGAAUCGUUGCAAGUAAUAAUAAAACGGUAGUACCGAGUGUCGAACUCAAGGAUUGCGUUUUACUAUUGAAUUAUAUUUAGUUACUAAAAUUGAACAAAAAGUUCCCAAGUUGAUUGAAAUAAUAAUUAAAAUUGACAGCAGUAGUAAAAUUGAUCUUUUAUAAAUUGAGAAAAAUGUCAGGGAUGAGUUUCACUUCGAAUCCAACCUUGGUGUCUAAUUUGAUCCUAGUUAUUGAAUUCCUUUAUUGAAUUAUUACCGAAUUCUCUUUAUUAUUCUUGCCCUAAUGUCUUAGUGACAGAACCUUUAAUUCCAAAGUAACCCCUAAUUCCUUAGUAGAUUUAAGAUUAGAAUUAAGCAUUACCGUAUAGAAAUUCUCUUGUAAAUUAUUGCUUUGCAACUAAUUUAAUUGGUUUCAUGACCUGCACCUAUGUCUAGACUACAAAUUCAUGAAUUUCUCAUCUCAAGCAUUCGUAAAGUCCACUUCCGUUUCAAAAUACAAAUCGUAGAACAUUUUAAUGUUGAUCAAGCAAUAAAAAGCAUUAAGCACAGAGAUGAGAAAAACAAUUCAAUAAACUCAUUCAUAUAACUAGAAAUCAAAUCAGAAAAUUGGCUUGCGCUUGGGCGCGCUCGGGCGCUCAGCAUCUGUUGUCCGGCGUAUAUUGCAUUUUUCUCCUCUUUCGAGUCUGAAUUUGGUUCCGGUGUCUUCAUGAGAGUUGUAGAUAUGGAUCGUAGCUUUCAUUUGCACUUGGUUUGACCCCCAAUUGAACAUCUACAACUCCAGAUAUGGCUGAAAUACUCUACAUAUGUCAUGUUGAUUUCUCACUAAAAUUCAGCACUGCACUAAAACAAAACGCAAUGUAAAAUGACGAAAAAUUCCUACUUAAUCAACGAAAUAAAAACACAAAACAUUUUAUCAACUCAAAGAACAAAAAUUAACAAAAUAUAUCAAAUAAAUCCUUAAUUUAACUAAUGAUUGAGGAUAAAUAAGACUAAAAUAGUGGAAAAAUAUGCAUAUGAUGAAGAGUCAUCAUGGAUAUGCCAAAGUAACUCUCAGAUAAGGUAAAACUACUCAGACUGUAUAUUAAAAUAACAAACUCAAUGGUAGGGAUAACAUACUAAAUUUGUAGAUCAAAUGGAGCAAGUUUGCUACACACUUGUUACCACCACCGAAACCAAACCUUUCUUUUUCUUCUUUCGUUGUCGUUCUACUUCUUCCUUGGCACUAUUCCUUUUUAUUAUUGUAAUUAAGAUUUAAGUCAUUUUCUUUCUCACAUGGGCCAAACCCAUUAAAAUCCUUUUUCUUUCUUUCUUUUAUUUCAAUAAUAAUAAUAAUAAUAAUAAUAAUAAUAAUAAUAAUAAUAAUAAUAUUAAUACUAAUAAUAAUUAUAAUAAUCUUAAUAAAAUUGGUGGGUUCCACUUGGGAAGUGAGUCCACCCAACAACUUUUAGUUAGGAUGUCAGCCUUUUGAUCAUUGGUACUACAAUGCUCUAACUUUAUCUUGCCUUUUAUCACUUGAUCUCUUAGGAAAUGAAACCUUGUUUCUAUGUGAUUGCUCCUUCCAUGAAAACUUGGAUGUCUUGAUAGAUCAAUUGUUGAUUUGUUGUCUAUCUUCAACUUCAUUGCUUAAUUGCUUCUCAGUCCCAAUCCUGUCAUUGAUUUAGUCAGCCAUGUAGCUUGGCAAACUCCCAUUUAUGCAGCCACGUAUCUAGCUUCACAUAUGGACAAUGCUACUAUGCUUUGCUUUUUCGAACACCAUGAGAUUGGUUAGUUAUUGAUAAUGAAUACAUAGCAUGUGGUACUCUUUCUAUCAUCCUUAUCUCCACUCCAAUCGGCAUCAGUAAAGCCAACAAAUUCAACUUCAUCUCUAUUUGAAAUUUAUGGGAUACAAUAUGCCAAACUCAAUGGUUUCCUUGAUGUAUCUCAAAAUCCUUUUUGCUACCAUGUAGUGUGAUGUCUUAUGCUUCUCCAUGUAUUACUAAUCAGCCCAACACUAUAUGCAAUAUAUGGCCUUGUGUUGCACAAGUACCUCAAAGAUCCUACAAUUUUCUUGAAGAUUGUAGGGUCAAUCAUCUUUUCAUUGCCCUCCUUGGACAGCACCAGCCCUGCUUCUGUUGGGGUACUAGUUCCUUUGCAAUCUAGCAUUUUGAAUCUUUUUAAUACAUCAUUUGCAUACUUCUUAUGAUGCAUAAAAAUUCCAUUUUUCCUAGUUUCAAACUCAAUUCCAAAGAAAUAUGACAACAUGCCUAGAUCAGCCAUCUCACACUUCUUCUCCAUUAUGAUCUUGAAGUUCUGAAUUUCUGCUUCAUCAUUAUCAGUCACUAGCAAAUCAUCCACAUAAAGGCAUAUCAAUAAUGCAGGUGUUGCUGCUUCCUUUUUCACAUACACUCCAUAUUUAUUUACACACUUUUCAAACAGCUGCUCUAUGAUGAAUAUAUCAAUCCACUUGUUUCAGGCUCUAGGGGCUUGCUUCAGGCCAUAUAGUGUUUUCUUCAGCUUAUAUACAAUGUCUUCCUUGACUUUUAUUUCAUAUCCUGGUGGUUGCUUCACAUACACUUCUUCCUUCAAUGAUCCAUUGAGGAAUGUUGAUUUAACAUCCAACUGAUGCAUAAACCAGUCUUUAUAGCUAGCAUUCUCACUAUUUCAAUUCUAGCUACUAGGGGAAACACUUCAUCAUAGUCCAACCCAUGUUUCUGUAAGAAUCCCUUUGCUACAAGUUUGACCUUGCAAUAUGGAAAUCUCUCAAUCAGGCUUCACUUUUAGUUUGUAUACCCAUUUCACAUCAAUUAAUCUCUUAUUUACUGGUAAGGUCAUCAAUUCCCAAGUCUGAUUCUUUUCUAUUGCAUUGAGUUCUUCCUCCAUUGCUAAUCUCCAUCUAGGAUCACUUAAUGCCUCUUCAUCACUUAUUGGUUCUGAUUUAGCCAACAAAACAACAGUGUUAAUUCUUCAUUUGCAUUGAUGGUUGAGUAAGAUGUCACUUCAUAUGGUUGCAAUCUAAUUGAAGUAUGUCUAGCUCUUCUCAUAGGUUCAAAAGCUGGCUGACUUGUUAUCCCUAUUGGAUGGCCUUCAUCCAGUUCCACUGCUACUGCCCUAUUGACUGAACUGAUGGAACUAGCUGGUCUGUCUGGGAUGGAUGCACUGCACGAGCUAGCUUCACUUAUUUUCUAGUCUUAUCCUCUUGAUUCAUCCACCAAUAUGUCCAUGCUUAUCACCAUCUUGUUCUUGUUUGGAUCAUAUGAACUUGUAAGCCCCAAUUGCAUCAUAAUCCAAUAACACCAUUUGUUCAACUCUGUCAUUAAGCUUCCUCUUGUUUUGAGUUGGCACAUGCGUGAAGCACAAUGAACCAGACACUCUAAGAUGAUUCACAUCUGGAUUUAUUCCAGUAAAGCUUCUUCAAGUGUCCUAAUGUCCAAUCUCUUAGUUGAACACCUAUUCAAACUGUAUACUGUUGUUGAAACUGCUUCUCCCUAGAAUUGCGAGGCAUAUUUCUCCCUUUCAGCAUAUUUCUUUCCAUGUUAAGAAUGAUUAUGUUUCUCCUUUCUGCAACUCCAUUAUGUUGUGGUGUAUAUGAUGCAGUCACUUCAUGAAUCAUUCCCUCUUUGUCACAUAAUUCAUGGAAUGCAUGUGAUUGAUACUCACCACCUCCAUUUGUCCUAAUCACUUUAAUGUUGCAGUCACUUUGUUUUUCUAGCAUCAACUUGAAUCUUCUAAACACAUCCAUCACUUCAAUAUUCUUCUUGAUUAGAUAGAUCCAAGUUUUUCUUGUAAAAUCAUUAACGAACGAUGCAAAGCAAUAAUUACCUCUUAUUGUCACUUCUUCAAAAGUACCACAAACAUCAAAGAAGAUUACCUCAAUCAUUCUUGAAGAUUGAGUUGGCACUUCAGCCUUGAAUGAGUUUCUGUGUUGUUUGGCAUGACAACAUUCUUCGCACAACUCCUUUGGUAUUUGAAUUUCUUGAAUUCCUAGCACAAUUUCCUUGCUCUGCAACAUUAGAAGACUUUUGAAAUUCAAAUGCCCAAACCUCUGAUGCCAUAACCAAUCUUCAUUUCUAAUUUCAGCAGCUAAGCACUUGUUCUCACUAAUCUGGAUAUCAAUCUUGAAGGUUCUGUUUUUGGACAUCAAUUCCUUCAAGAUCAUUCUUCUUGAACUGUCAAACAUCCUCAUUUCACCAUGCUCCAUUUUCAUAGAAUACCCCUUGUCAAGUAGUUGUCCAAGGCUUGAUAGAUUGUUCUUCAUGUUUGGUACAUACAACACAUCACAUAUGAAUGAUUGCUUGCCAUCUCUCAUUUGAAUCAACACCUUGCCUACUCCUUCAGCUGUCACUAUGCUAUUAUCUGCAAAUUUGAUAUCCCUUUUUACCUUCUCAUCAAUGCUCACAAACUAAUCUUUAUGGUCAGUCAUAUAAUUAGAACAACCUGUGUCAAGGUACCACUGUUAUGGGCAUUCAUCAUCUGAUUUUGUUGUAGUCAUUAAUAACACUUCAUUUGAGUCUAAAUCCUCAGCUUCCAUUUGAGAUUCAUCAUCCUCUCUUUGUACUUUCUUGGAUUUGCAUUCAUUUGCAAGGUGCCCUCAUUUUUUUACCAUUGUAACAUUAGAUCUCUUUCUUGUUGAAUUUCUUCUUACCAUUCGAAUUAUUGUUGUUGUUAUCACUUUUGUUCUGAUUUCAUGGAUUUCCAACCCUUUCAUCAGAAUCAUGCUUCUUGUACCACUUGAAUUUACCUUUUCCUUUCUUGUGCUUCAUGUCACCUUGGCUGGUCUUCUUACUGAUUUGGGCAUGUAGGGCAUGCAUUAAAGAUGUUGAGGUUGCUGCACACCUUUCUCUUACUCUCAGUUCAAGAGCUUCAAGAUAGCCUUGCAAAUCCUCAACCUUCAUCUUAUCAAGAUAUUUUGAUUCUUCAAUAGCCAACACAAUAUGAUCAUACCUUUAUGUUAAUGUUCUAAGGAUUUUUUUCAAUAAUCACCACUUCAGUUAUUGAUUGUUCUCAUCUGAUUAACAACAACUUGCACCAGAUUGAAGUAAUCUGCCACAACUUUCACUACAACAUUUUUGCCCUACUGCAACGCAUAAAAAUCGUUGUUUAACGUAAAAAAACCGUUGUCGUAAUCUACGAGAACGGUUUUCUGACCGUGGGGAACCAAGGCGUUGCCUUAGCCUAACGCAACGGUUUUUUUUUUUUGAAACAACAACACUUAGUAAAAAUCGUACUUGUAGCUACCUCUUACAGAACGGUUUUCCAAAUUUACAACGACAACAGUUUUAUAUUGUUGCCAAGAUAAAACUGUUCUCGUAGGCAUUUUUUCAAUUAAGGUAUGGCAACGCUUUAUAACCGUUGCCAAAAUUAAAAUAUUAAAAAAAAAACAAUAUUGUAAAUUAUUGCAUUUUUUAAAAUUAAUUUUACUAAAACAUUAUUAUUGUAAUUCCAUAAUAAAUGAGCCAAAUUGUAGUUCAAAUAGGGUAUAAUUAAUAACUUAAAGAUUUGUUUGAAUGAAACAUAAUAAUUGCACAUAUAAUGCAUACAUAACUGAUCAACAAAAAAAAAAAAAACAAACUACAUGCUAAUCCCUUUAUUAAAAAAGGACUUUGUGUAUAGAGGAUACAAAAGGACUUGUAUAUAGAGAAUACAUGUUGAUCCCUUUAUCAAAAAAGGAGUUGUAUAUAGAGGAAGAUACAAAAUUCUUUGACAUAUAAAAAGAAUGUCAUCCAACAUCCAACCUACCCACCUAUAUAAAAUAACAUUUCCCAUCACUUGAAAGGCUUCUGAUCUCAUUAAUCGAUCAUGAGAAAAUAAAUAAAAUCAAAUUCACACAUCCUCAGAUAUUGUGUGCGAUCAAUGUUCAAGAGGGGAAGUCAGCAUAAUAAGCAUUCUUGGUGCUAUUGCCAUAGCCAUUAGCUCUUGAAAGGGCAGCUUACAAGCAUAAUGAAUGUAAACCUGCAUACACAAUCAAAAGCCAAAACGAGAAGCUAAGAAUUCAGCACAAGGAGAAAAUGCCUCGGACUUUAAUAUGGACUAUAAUGCUAAGAGAAGUUAUAUGGUCAUUCACCUAAACAAUGUCAGUUUUGUUCUUGCAUCCCCUACUUUAAUAUGGACUUUGGUAGUAAUUAGGACCAAGGAAAUUCAUUGCACAGAGAUGUCUCCCUGUAUGACCAUUUUACAUUGUCUCAAAACCACGCAUUUAGUACCCACAUUUGUGUAGAGCUUUGCUGAUAUUAUCCAUCUGGAAUACAGUAGUAAAAAAAUAUCAGAUUUUUAAACUCUGGGCUGAUGACAGGAAAUAAGAUAUUAAUGAAGAUCAAUUAAACAAUCUAAUUGACACCACUUAGGAUAUAUAUACUAAUACUUUGCACAAAUUUUCACAACUAAUUAAAUUUUCAUUGGUUCUUGUUUACAAAUAAUACGUACCAUGGGGAUAAGUAGGAAACGGAAAGAGUAGCAAAUAGCAUAUUGUAGACACAGUAAGUCCUAAAAGCAACACAUCAAAAGGAGUUAGCAUAACAAACAUUAUUAUAGGGAGGAACAUAACUAUCAAAUUAUGCAUUAAUGCUUAUGCAUUGUAGCUAGCUAGUACUUACCUAUAAGCCCUCCAGUAAAGACAUCAGUCUAAUGAUGCCAAUAAUCAUCUACUCGAGUAACUCCAACAAGGGCAGCAAUAAGUAAUGGAAGUAAAACUAUACAAAGUUUGCCGAUGUGGUUCCUACGAUCAAACACUCAAACUUUUCCUGAUAAAUACCAUGAAAGGAAACCAAGACCAGAAAAUGACACUACAUUUGGUUAAACAUUAAUUAAUCACCACCAAAUUAAAGAACAAAUUAUAUUCCAUUACAAAAACAAUCCUGCACUAAAGAUGAUACAAUCUUUAUAUUCAAUAUAAAAUACUUAGUCAACCUUGUAGAUGAGGGAUCUAAUAAUAUGCACAAGAUUGCAACCAAGUUUCAUAAUUCUAGUCAAUCAUACUUCCUAAACCAGUCAUAAUUUUGUGUCACCUAGAAUCAAAUUGAAUUAUUAGGGUAAACCAGCCAGAAUCAAUUCAACCAUUUAAAAAAUCAGAAAUCGUAACCAGAAAUCGAUGCAGAGGUUGAGUGAUAACAGAGAAAGGAUGAAAAUACAUACCAAAAAUCACCAAGUCAUGAAGAGGUAGAAGUUUUGCAAGAUUCAAAAAGUUUGAGCGUAAUGGAUGUUGCAGAGUUGCGAGAAAACCCUAAUCGAUGUUCAUUCACAAGCUUCCUUCACCAACACUUGUUUUCCCCCUUUUUCAUUCAAAAACAAGAAUAGUCAAGCAAGAGAGAGAAGAGAGGGUUACUGUUUUGCGCACGCGAGAGAGAGAGAGAAGAGGAACAGAGUUUGCGAGAGAGAGAGUAGAGAUGAAUAAUAUUGUUUGCUGAGAAGAGAGAGUAUAGAGGAAUAAAGUGUCAGAGAGAAGAAAUGAUUUUUCUGAGAAGAAACGCGAGCGCGAGGCAAAAUGAAAUAUUUGGAGAAAAUUUUUACUUUGCAUAAGAGAACGGUUUUGUUAAAAAAUAAACUAUUAGAACAAUUUUAAACUGUUGCGGUAGAAAUUAUAAAAUUUAUUAUUCUACUACAACGAAAUAUCAAAACCGUUCUCUAUUAGACUCUACGAGAACGGUUUUUUUACCAUAAAAAAUUAAGCGUUGCUGUAGCACCAAAAUGUUGUAGUGUUUAUUUUAUUCCAUCUGCAAUAGUUCGUAUUACCUUCUUAGCAUUUGGAGCUUCACUUUCUUGGCCUUUUCUCCACUUGUAUAGUACUUGACCAAGAUCUCCCAUGCCUCCUUUGAAGUAGAUGCCUUUGAAAUUAUCUCAAAUUUGUUUGAAUCCACAUUUUGCUGGAUGUAAAAUAAUGUCUUGCAAUCCCUUUUCUUGCAAUCUUUGAAAGUUGUAUGUUGUCUUUCUGUUGGAUUUGCACCAAGCUGUUCAUAGCCAUCUUAAACAAUCUCAAACACUUCUUGAGCUCCCAACAACAAUCUCAUUGAUGAAACCACCUUUCCCAAUUCUUUCCAUCAAGGAUUGAGAAAUUCGAUGGAAAUCGUCUUCUAUUCAUGUCUUUUUUCUUUCAUUCACUCACACUUGUGUUUCACAAUUUUUGAUUCCCUUCACACUUGCACUCGUGUUUCCCAAGGUUUAAAAGUUAAGCUCUUGAUGCCAAUUGUUAAAACAUGUUGUAUAGUUGAGAGGAAUUGAAAUUGAGAAGAAAAGAGAAAAACAAAAUGUUUUGGUAAAACGAAGAUUGAUUAAUUGCAUACCAAAGAUGUUAUUGAUUUUACAAAUUUAUAUCAGUUUAACCAUUAACUGUCAAAACAUAAUUCUAACCUUCUUAACUAUUUCUAACUGUAUUUUAACAUUCAUAACUAACUACAAAUCAAUUUAAUUACAUUUUAACAUAUAUGAUUUAUCUUUGUCAUAAUUAGGGUUUUAGGGUUUUCUGAUGUUGUCUUGAUGUAAAAUAAAAAAUUGAACACACAUUCUAAAGCUAAAGCUGAAAUAUUUAUCUUUAUUUGAUGCAAUUUGUUUUUUCUUUUCUUUUUUGUUUCUUUUUACUAACUAAGGUCUAUAUCCCCGAAUUUUUUAAUAAAAUUAAGAUUGAUCUAAAACUCAAACUAAUAAAACAAGAAGUUCAAACCUCCUUAAUUUUUAUUCUUGUACUUAUAGACAAACAAGUUUAAAAGCUUUAUGUACACAGGAAAAUACAUCAUAAAUAUAAAAAAAAAAUAUUAUACUAAUUAACAUAAUUAAAAUAUUUUAUAUCUAAAAAAUUAAGAAAGAUAAAAUUGAAAUAAAUUAAUAAAAGUACUCUAUUUUUUCUUAUUAAAAUAUUGCUUUAGAGUUCACAAGUGUUGUGUCAGCCUUGAAUAAAUAGAUCAUGACUUUACAUUAAAGCUGGGAAGCAGAUUGGAUCGAAAGUUUUGCGCAAAUACCCUUGUUAUUGUGGGUGAUCAAACUUAUCUUGGUUGCCUCCUCGUGGUAUAUAUUGUGAUGAUAAACUAUAUUGAUGAUGGAUUCUUUGAGCAUGAAAACAUGCAUCACCACCAUAUGGCUAUAUAUGCAAGAGAGAUGCAAUGCUACCAAAAAUAGUAAAAAUAACCACGAAAUUUUAGAGACCGCACAAAUACUCACAAUUUUACAAAAAUAACUUAGAAAAAACUAAAAUUAAAAUUUAUCUCUAAUUUAGAGCGCCGAGAGAUGGAGGAGACUUGGUUUCUAAUAAACUCUUUCAAAUUCAUAUUUUAUUUUUUUAAUUGGUGAAACAAUCCUUUAGCAUGUUAGUUAAGUGUUUUAGAAUGAGUUGUAAUAGUUUUUGAAUCUCCCAUUAAUAUACUAUGCUUAAACAUUCGCUAAAUAAUAAGUUGGAAGUGGUAUUAUGUAACUUUCAAUGUAUGAUUAAAUAAGGUUGUGUUAAUAAUGAAAAAAGAAAGAGGAGAGACAACCACUCUAGGGUUUCAUAAUAUAGAAUGAACCAAACUUGAGUUAAUAGAGUUACAAUGAGUAUAUAUAUAUAAAAGAAUAGAAAUGUCUAAAAUACUCUUACUACUAAUAUAUAAUAACAUUAUCUAACAUCUCCCCUCAAACUCACGAUGCAUUAACAUGGAGCAUCGAGAGUUUGUCAACUAAAAAACGGAAACGUUUAAUGGAAUGCAUCUUUGUGAAUAAAUCAGCAAUUUGUAAAGAAGAAGAGACAAAUGGUAGAGUAAUGGUUUCAUGCUGAAGAUGAUGACGAGUAAAAUGACAAUCAAUCUCAAUGUGUUUGGUGCGUUCAUGAAAGACUGAGUUGUGAGCAAUUUGAAUAGCACUCUUCCUUUCGCAGUGCAUCGGAGUUGGUUCAAAAAGAGAGAUACCCAUAUCAGAUAAAAGCCAACACAACCAAAUUAUUUCAGCGAUAGUGGAUGCCAUAGCACGAUACUCAGCUUCUGUAGAGGAGCGAGAGACAAUGUCUUGUUUCUUACUCUUCCAAGAAAUAAGAGAGUCUCCAAGAAAGAUACAAAACCCUGUGGUGGAGUUACGAUUUGUGGUGUCACCAGCCCAAUCAGCAUCAAAAUAAGCUCGUAAUUCUAAUGAAGAUGACAAUGGAAAGAGAAGGCUUUGAAAUUGAGUUCCUCGAAGAUAACGAAAAAUCCGAAUAACUGUUGCCCAAUGUACUGUAGUGGGAUAGACAACAAACUGACUAACAACAUGAACAACAUAAGCAAUGUUAGGUCUGGUAAUCGUAAGAUACACUAAGCUGCCAACCAAAGUACGAUACAAAGUGGAAUCUAGUAAAGGAACACCAUCCGAGGGAGCAUAUUUCACAUUCAACUCAAGAGGAGUAUCUGUUGCUCUAGUAUCAGAAAGACGAGCCUGGUCAAGAAUGUUGGCAAUGUACUUGGAUUGAGAAAGAAGGUAGCCUCUAGGAGAGUAGACAACUUCAAUCCCCAAGAAAUAGCGAAUAGUUCUCAAGUCCUUCAUCUCAAACUAUUUGGCUAACUACAAUUUCAACUCAUUGAUUCCACUAACAUCAUCACAUGUAAUAAUCAUAUCAUCAAUAUAUAGAGAAAGUAUAAUGCGACCACAAGUGGUGGACCUUAUAAACAAUGCAGAAUCAUGUUCACUAGAGCGAAAACCAAGAGAAGUGAUCACAAUAGAGAACUUCUCAAACCAAGCCCGAGAAGCCCGUUUAAGGCCAUUUAGAGCCUUUUUUAACUUACAUACUUCCCCUUGAUUAUGAGAAACUCCUUGUGGAGGGACCAUAUAGACUUCUUCAUGAAGCUCACCAUUUAAAAAAGCAUUUUUGAUAUCUAUUUGGCAAAUAUGCCAUUGGCGAAUAGAUGCAACUGCAAUAAGAGUACGAAUAGUGGUCAUCUUGGCUACAAGAGCAAAAGUUUCUUCAUAAUCCAUACCAUAUUGUUGAUAGAAACCCUUAGCAACAAGACGUGCUUUGUAGCGCUCAACUGACCCAUCAGACUUAGUUUUAAUCUUGUAUACCCAACGAGACCCAAUAACACGUUUUCCAGGAGAAAGAUGUACUAAUUCCCAAGUAUUGGUUUUGUGCAAUGCAGAUAGUUCUUCUGCCAUAGCCUGCUGCCAAAGAGGAUCAAGAACAACCUCUUUAUAGUAAGAGGGCUCAGACAAACUGUGAAUAGAGGUUAAGAAAGAAACAAACGAAGUUGAGUAAGUGGAAUAGACAAAAUCAGGUAACUGAGUAGACUUACGUAGACGAGAGGGGUAACAAGGAGGAUCAACAAUUGCAGGGGGUGGUUGGACAGCCGGAGGGACAAGAUGGGUGUCAUCAUGUGGAGUAUUAGUAUUUGUCCUGCAAUUCUAAACAUUACAAUCACUAGAAGCAUAAUCAUUAGGACCAAACGGAUCAAUAUGGGUUAGUUUAGAACUCUUAGUAAUCUGAGAAUCAGAGGAAAUAAAGUAAAAAGUGAUGUGCUCAAGAAAAACAACAUUACGAGAUACAUAAAGUUUUCUUGCAUGAGGAUCAUAACAACGAUAACCCUUUUGACCAUCCCCAUAACCAAAAAAAACACACAUGGCUGAACGAGAAGACAACUUAUUGCGCUCUACUUGAGGGCGAAGAACAAAACAAGUAGAACCAAAAACUUUCAAAGAAUAGUAAUCAGGGGUAGAAGCAUACAAUUUUUCAAAGGGAGACAAACCUGAUAUGAUAGAUAAUGAAAUUCUAUUAAUAGCAUGAACAACAAGUAAGAACUGAUUCUCCCCAAAACUCACUAGGAACUGAAGCGGACAACAAAAGCGAACGAGCAGUCUCUAUAAUAUGACAGUGUUUCCUUUCAGCAACUCCAUUUUGUUGAGGAGUAUCAGUACAAGAUGUUUAGUGGAUGGUGCCAUCAUAAGCAAGUAAUUCAGAAAAUUUACUAGAGGUAUAUUCACCACCUAAAACACAACGAAAGCACUUUAUAACAGAAUUAUGUUGAGUUUUGACCAUUGCACGAAACAUAUGAUAAAUGUCAAAAAAUUUAGACCGAUUUUUCAUAAGAUAAACCCAACAAUAACAAGUGUAAUCAUCAAUAAACGAAACAUAAUAUCUAGAUCCACCUUUGGUGAGAACCGGUGAUGGACCUCAAACAUCAGAGUGAACUAAAUCAAAUGGCACAUAUGAAAUGGAAACACAUUUACUAAACGGUAAAGCUGGAAGUUUAGCAAGUUUACAACCACAACAAUAUGAGAUAUCACAUGUUUGUAACUUUCCUAAGGCUACAUUAGAAGCCAAAUAUUUUAAUCUAGAAGCAAAAACAUGUCCAAGACGAGAAUGCCAUAAAUAAAAACUAGAAGAUAAGGAAUUCAAGCGAAAACUAGAUAAAAAGUCAGCAGUAGUUGUUGAGGCUGCAGUAUCUGGGAGUCGCAGGUCAUCCAAAACAUAAAUUCCUCCAUGUCUAUGACAUGUCCCAAUUAGCCUCCCGGAAUGUGGAUCCUACACACAACAAGAAGUGGAAGAAAACAUAACUGAAUAACCGAGAUCACAUAUUUGACUAACAUAAGCAAGACUCAAAGUAAGAUUAGGAAUAUAAUAAACAUCAUAAAGAGACACAUUAGGCGUGGAGACAAAACCAACGUCUGCUAGUGGCAUAGAAGUGCCAUCAGCAGUCAUAACCGACACAGACGAGACAGGUUUUACAGACACAAAAGAUUUAUCAUCGUAUAUCAUAUGAUGAGAUGUUACCGAAUCAAGAAUCCAUAUGGAAGAAGAUAUACCUGACAUACCAGAGGAGUUCAAACCUUUAGAAGAGGUGGCAGACAUGGCAUGUGAUUGAGUGACAAGAAGUUUUUGAAGUUGUUCUGCAGUAUCAGAUAUUUGAGAAGCAGUCUUAGAUGAGUAUACAGAACCAUAACUAGAGCCAAUGGUAGGAGGAGCAGAAGCAACAAAAUUGGACGAUGGCUCCCUAAAAUUCUUCUUAUGUGCUCUCCCCAAUUUCGGACAAUGUGUUUUCCAAUGUGCUUGAAGAGAAUCAUCCUUAGCACCAGCCAUAACAAACAAUGACAGGAAAAUACGACAAAGACUAAGACAAAAUAAAUUAGGGAUAAUCUGGUGCUGUGCGAGUACGAUUUCUCCCCCUCCAGACAUUGUUUUGCUGAUCCGACCAUCGGGAAUAUGGUUACUCUUCUCUUUUCUCUUUUGAUGGUUGUCUUUCCUAUCAAAAUAGUCUCUGUCUUCUUUAUAGUAGAUCCCAAAAUCAACCAAAGCUCUGAUACCAUGUUAACAAUGAAAAGAGAAAGAAGAGAGACAACCAUUCUAUGGUUUCAUAACAUAGAAUGAACCAAACUUGAGUUAAAAUGGUUACAAUGAGUAUAUAUAUAAAAGAAUAGAAAUAUCUAAAAUACUCUUACUACUAAUAUAUAAUAACAUUAUCUAACAGGUUGAACAUAGGAUCUGAAGAUUAAAAGUAACUUUAUAGAUAAGUUGGUCACCACAUCUUUACUUAAAAUUUUAACAUCUUAAAUAGAUGAGUCAUUUAUAUAAUGUUUAAUAACAACUUUUCAUCAAAUAUUAGAUUCUUACUCGUGCUUAUAUGACUACCAUUUCCAUUUUAAUUACUCUAUUGUUUCUUAAAGGUAGUGUUUUAGCAUUUAAUUGGAUGUAUUGAUUUGUUCACCUAUUAGGUUUUACAGUUAUUAGUGAGAUGAUUGCAAUCGGUUGGCUAUUUAAUUUGUUCGUGUUGUUUAUCAUGCAAAUCAAACUAGUAAUAGUAUGAAUUGUUGAUCACAAAACUUUUAAGUGUUCAUGUGUAGGUGCGCACCAAGUGUGAGCGGAGUCUUGGUCGGAUUUGCAUGGGUCCACGAAGAGCUGACUCAAAACUUAAUAUAACCUAAUCUAGUAAGGAGACACGAACGAAUGAAAAAACACACACUUUCGUUUUGGCAAGAAAAGAAAAAAUGAAUUCAGUUUUUAGAGUUGCACAAAUUAUAGGAUUAAGUUUUUAUAUAAAUAAUAUGAUUAUGUAAUAUCUUAAUUGUUAUAUUAUUAUUAUUGGAGCCAUUUAAACAUUCACAUAUUAAUCAACCUUAAUAAUGUUAUUUAUGUAUUUAUUAUUAUUUAAUUAUCGUAAUAUACGAAGUUAAAUCAUAUAUUUAAAACAAUUAUUAUUUAAUUAUCGUAAGAUAUGAAAUCACAUUAUAAAUUAUGUGUUUUAGAUUAAUACAUACACUUAACCAGACGUAAGUCGAAUAUAUACAUCAAUUCGUGUUUUGACGUUUGACGUGAAUAUGUAACGAUAAUGAAGUAGGAAUUCACGAUUAAUUGAUUGAUCAAUUGAGUAACAUUUCACAGUACUUCCUAUCUGGUAUAAAUUAAAGAAGUGUUUGCUAUGCUGCAGAGAUUGAAAAGAGUUUAUCUACUACGUAGAAAUUGGAUACUGCGGUAUGUUUAAUAUUAAUGUCACCCAUGAAAUACAAAUAUAUAGAAUAUUAUGGUAUUUUACCCAUUUCAUUCUACUUUAUUGUUUAAUUUAUAUAUAUAAAAUUAUAAAUUUUGUAUAGAAAUAAUAAAUAAAUAUUGUCAAUAUAUAUAUUAAAUUUUAUUUUCACGUGAUAUUGAUAUUAACUGAUAUUAUGUAUGUAUGAAAAAAAAUAGUAAAUUAUUAUUUAAUUUAUUUAAAAAAAAAUUAUCUUGACUUCUUUUAUAUUAAAAAGUAUCACGUUAAAUGUUUUAUAAAUAUGAUCUUGGUUUGGGGAUUUUUUUUUGAAUAUUUUGAUAAUAUUUUUUAAAAUUAAUUAAUACUAAUAAAAUUAAUCUAUAACAUAUAUGUAAAUAUAAAAUAAAAUCUAUCUAAAUUAUAUAUAAAUGAUGUGUUAAAAUAAAUCAAAAUAUAAAAUUAUAAAAAUAUAAAAUCAAAAUAUCUAUAUUAAUCCUCGUAUAUUUUGUUGGAAUAAUUUUGAAAUACUAAAUCAUGCAAAUACUAAAAUACAAAUAUUUUAUUUCCUGUUGAAGUAUCUUAUAUAUUCAAAAUUCACACUUUUAUAUCUUUUAUACCAUUCUCACGGGUUAUUGAUGACACAUUGUUCAUACAUAUUGUAUCGACCUCUCGCAAUUUAUUGUGUUUUUUUUUUAAACAUUAUUAGUGUGCUUAGUUUAACAUAUAUAUUAGUAUGCUUAGUUUAACAUACAAGUAAGAAUGUAAAAAGAAAGAAAUAAUCGAGAAAUAUUAUAGAUUUAAUUUAUAGAUUAGGAUUUGAGAAAUAAAAGAGAAAUAAAGAACGAAAAAUGAUAUUUGUUUAUAAAAGUACAAUAAUGCCACUAUACUAAAUAACUUUUCAAUUAUAAAUAAUUUAAUUUGUUUGUUUAAACUAAGUUAACUAAAAUAUUUAUUUUAUAUUUAACUUAUUAAUGAUGUAACUUAGCUAAUAUUUUAGCACUAACAUUCUGAACCACGUUCUCUUGUGUCAAAGUUUGCAAAUAAAAGACAUAAUUUAACCGCUGAUUCAUCGACCAAAUAUUUGAAAAUUACAAAACUAUACUAUUAUAUACUUUAAAAAAUUGAAGACACCGUCAAUAUCUAUGUGUCAUAAUUUCUCUUUAUGUGUCUUUUUUAGUUUCAAUAAAAUAUUAAUUUUAAUCUAUAUAAAAAAUUCUCAAUUUUUCUUUUUUUAAAAUUUUAUUCAUUUUUUAUUUUUAUUUUAAAAUUUUUUUGUAAAAAGUUAAUAUUUUUAGUUUUGAUAAAAUAAAAUAAGAUUAAAAGUAAAUAAUUUUUUUUGAAAUUAAAUUUAAAAAUAAUAAUUUUAUAGAAACUAAAUACAUUUAAUCCUAAAAAACGUAUUUUUCACUAUAUUACAUUCUUUACAUAGAAAAUGAUUUAAUAUUUUUUUUUCUAUGGGCAAUUAAAAUUUUAAUGGACAAUAAUUAAAAUUAAUGACUAAUACAAUAAUAAUCAGCUUAUUGGGGCAACUGCCCCUAACUAGUUCCAUAUGCAUUCAUCUAAAACUAAAAACCUAGACGCAUUCUUCUGAAACUAAAAACCUAGACGCAUUCUUCUGAAAUUAAAAACCUAGACUUUUAAAUGUUAAUUUUAAUUUAAAAAAAAAUCAGAAAUAAUGUUAGAAAAGUUAAAAACACUUCAGUUGCAUGCUUUCCUCGUACCUUAAGGAAGAAGUGAAAACAUUAUUACAUGAAUCUAAUAAAAUUAUAUUGUUUGUAGAGUAGGUACCAAUACAAAUUGUAAAGAGAAUUGGUAAGACACACAAAUACAAAUUAUAAAAAGUGUGAAGAAUUUAAAAUAUUAUUUUAAUUGAUAAAUAUUAAUAUUAUUAUAUUGAAUAUUAUGUUAAGAAUUUGAACUUUAUGACAUUGUAAUUGUGUGUAAAUUCUUUAUUAUUUCAUCUACAAAUAAAAAAUAAAUAAAAAGAGUGUGAAGAAAAAAAUAUUAAAAACAAACUUUAAAUAUAUUUUUAUUUAUUUUUACAAAUAUAAUUUUUUUUAAAAAUUAAAAAAGAUACCUAUUGAAUUUUGUCUUAAUAAAAAAUGUUGAGAUGACAAAUUUUUGUUGAUGUGGUUCAUCCUAACUGUAUCAAUUAUGUUAAUUGUUCAUUUAUUAUUAUUAAAAAUUAAAUAAUAAUUCAUUUAAUACUAUAUUGUAUUUAAUAUCAAUUAUGCAAAUUGUGAAAUAAAGAUAAACCAAUAGAAAUAAUUAAUAAUUAAUAAUUAAUAAUUAAUAUUGAUUAACCAAAGAUGUUAUUUAGUAUUUAAUUUGAUAAAAACAUAAAAAACUCUGUUUAUUUUCAUAUAUUUAUUAUUAUUAUUAUUAUUAUUAUUAUUAUUAUUAUUAUUAUUAUUAUUAUUAUUAUAUAUAUAAUAUUUUAUGGUAAUAACGAUUACAAACCUUUCUUUUUUGAAAAGGGGAAAUUAAAUUUAGAUACAAUACGAUUAUUAAUUAAAGAUCCUACAAUCAUUUUGAAGUAAAUUGCUUAAAGAAGGACAAACAAAAGUAAUAGUUUUAAUAGAUAAAUUAGCUUCUAAACCACGAUAAGCAAGGUGAUCUGCCUUGAAAUUAGCUUUGUGAUAGAUGUGUUGGACAUUAAACAAUUACAAACCUAUACAUAUACUUGUGAUAAAGAAAAACAAAGAGAUGUUACAAAAAAUAAAAUAAAAUAAAACUAUACCUAAUAUCUUAUAAUUAUACCCCUAUACCACAUUUUAUGCAUUCUACUAAUUUUACACUUUUUAUAAAAUAAAAAACUUACAGAUUUGCAAAAUUGAUAAACUUACCAAAAGUUUUCGAAAGUAAAAAAAUUGUAUCGACAAACUAAAAUUAAAUUUUUUGAACCUAAAUAUAUUUUGAAAAAAUUAUACUUUAGAUUUAAAAUAAAAUAAAAUCAUAUUACAGAAAACAUAAACUUCAAAUACCGAAAUACAUUUGUUUUGGUGAAUUUAUAUUUAGUUUUUUGAAAUACAUUAUAAAAAAAAUUAAAUCACAACUAUAAAACAAAUUUUCUAGAAUUUGAUUUUUCUAAAAAGUUAUUGAAAGUUUUUAUCAAAGUUUUUCGGAGUAUUUGAUUUUUUAAAAAUAAUGGCAAACUUAAUUCAAGUUUAUGUAUUUAAAAAACUAAAAGUUUGAUUUUUUUCACUCAUAAAUUCAAAACUUUCAAACCACAAGUAAGUUAACUUUUCAAACUUUUUAAUGAAUUUCAAACCAUCGAAAUGUAAUGUUCAGUUUCUUAAAAUAUAUUUGAAAGUAUCAAACAAUAUGAAGUUUCUGAAAUAAAUGAUUAAACAAUUUGUGAAAGUUUCGAGCAAUAUAAAAAUUUCAAAACAUACUUUUAACCAUACCAAAUAAACGGAUAGAGGCAAAAAAGUUCCACCACUACAUCUAAUAAACGGAUGAAUAAGGAUAAUUGUCCACCUUGUCAACAUAAACAUGGUUUUAGGUCUCAAGAAUUUGACGAGGAUGUCCAAGAGCCUGAACAAAUGGACUAUGAGGAAGCUGAGGAGCUGGCGGUCGAAGAUCAUGUCUAGCAACGUGAAUUCCUUGGAGAGUCCUUGGUCACAUUGGUUUUGACACAUUAUGGACAUCAUGUGGCUCGUGGAUACGAGAAGAAGAAAUAUAUUUUAAUUAAUUAAGAAUAAGUAUAUUUUAAUUAAUUAAGAAUACAUAUAUUUUAUUAAGUACAUUUUUGUAAUAAAAUUUAGUACAUUAUUUUAUUGUUAUGUUAUUUAUGUUUUUUAGUUACUUGCAGAAUCGUGAUCCGUUGAAGGUGAUCACACACAGUUUGAAACUGAAGAAGUUUGCUAAAGUAGAGACACCAAAUAUUGAACAAUAUUGGGUUCAAGAAUAUGGAUUGGUGCGCUUGUCUUCAACUUAUUUGACGGCAAAUGACGAUAGUCUAAUAUAUGCCUAUAUAGAAAGAUGACAUAAAGAUACCAACUCGUUUCACAUGUUAUUCAGGGAACUGACCAUCACAUUGGAUGAUGUCACAACUCUUUUGCACAUUCUUUCUCGUGGUAGGUUCUUUAAUGCAUCAAUAAAUAUGAAUACUAAUAAUUUUUGUGAUUGUUGCACUUGAGUUGCUGCGGGCAACAAUGGAAGAACCACCUACUGAGAUAAAUUUUAACAAAUGUGCUUAAUAUAGACUACAAUGGUUGCACACUUUAUACAAAAGUCUCAUCUAAACUAGCCGGUUUGAGUGUGCUGCCCGAACAUAUCUUUUGCACUUAACUGAAAACAUAAUUUUCAUCAACAAGACUCACAUUCAGGUCGAGGCGAAGUGUAUUAACUUUUUCAAUAAUUUAGUACAUUGUUGGAACUAUGCACGAGGUACAACUACAUUGGUUGUGUUAUAUGAUAACCUAUAAGAUUGAGCUAUUCAUGACACUAGACAAUUUAAAGGGUAUAUGAUCCUGUUACAAGUAUAUGAAUCAUAUUAUGUUGUGAUUUUAAUCUACUAAAUUGUCUUUCAUUUUUAGUGCAAUGUUAGAUUUACGAGUACUUUCUUAAAAUAUGUAAGUGGAUGAUAGUGUAAGGGUUGCUAAACAUACUCCUAGAGCUCUUAGAUGGACCGCCAAACAUGCUGUCAAAGGUGGAUUGAUGAGAUGUAAAUAGAGGCUUAGUGCCAUUUUCCUUAAGGAUGUAGUGUUUACACCAUACGAUGAUGACCGAAUCUAUCAUCAUUUUAAACCAACUACGAUGUACUCUAGCUACUUGUUGGAGUGAAAAUUCAGUCCCACAUCUACCGGAGCGAUGUCUUCGACAGUUUGGUCGCAUUCAAUGUAUUUCGAGUGAUAUUUCUCUGGUGUUAGCAAAUAUAGAUUGUGAGUGGCAGAAUAGUUUUAAAGCAUGUAUAGUAACCCUUCAGAGUCUUUCGCCUCUAGCGACGCCUCCUAGUGAGGUCUCAUAUAUCUAUUAUGCAUGGUACUUACAUGUUUCAUAUCUUGAGAUCCUCUAUGAAGCUCCACCUACUACUUCACUUGUUGAUUCACAUGUUCGAUCAUCUUUUACACAAGUUGGUCCAUCUUCUACAUGAGACACUAGAGCAUUUGAGUUUUUGCAUAUCCUUGAGGUGGUUGCGUUCCAAAUUCUUGACAUGGUUGCUUUGUAGAAUGUUGAGAUGAUUGCUUUGGAGAUCCUUUAGAAACAUCCACAUACUCUCAAUAUGAAGGAUCAUUAGGAUCAUCAAAUUAUUUUCUCUUUUGAUUUUCACGUUAUCAGGUGGUGGGUGCAUUGUUUUUGUUUCUGGAAAUACAAGUUAACGCACAUUUGUCCUAAAAAUUAUUUGACCAACAAUAUCUUAUGUCUUUGUGUAUGCUUCCAUUGCCUCUCACUUCUCUAAGAAGUCAUACUAUUAUAAAGAUUUUUCAUCCUCUAAUUUAUGCUCCAUGAUUAAUUUUCUCCAAAAAAAAAAUAAUGGUAUGUAAAGAGAUUAAAGUACUAGAUAUAUGCAAAUAUGCCAAGUCACAAACACAAGGAAACCCGUGAAUUGUCCUGAUUGAGGAACCACAUGUUGUUUUGUCAAUACCUACCAUGUUUACUCACUUUAACUCUUUAUCCUUUUUAAAAAAUAUUUCUUUGAUACAAAGUGAUGCAAUCUUGAUAAAAUGGUGAAUUAUGCCCGUGCUCAAUAUCAAUAAUGCUUUUCUAAAAAGAUGCUUUGGUGUUACACAUUUAGUUAUUCAACAUCAUAUUUACAUCAUCCCAUCUUUUGCACAAAUCUCCAUUAUUAGUUUGCAACAUGAUUUUCAAUCUCCGAUGAUGAUACUUAGCUUUACAAAUAAAUGAAAUAACACAAAUUAAUAAAAAUCACACAAAUGACUCAAUCAUAUUUCUAAAACAAAUUAGGCUUAAUUGCAGUUUUGGUCUCCCUAUUUUAACUGAAUCACGAAAAUAGUUCCCCCAUUUUAUUUCUCUCCAGUUUUAGUCCCCCAAACAGAAUUUUAGUCCAAAAUUUAAUGAAAUAUCAACAUAAUAUGUUUAUACAUUAAAAACUAAUAAUAUCAAUUAUUAUUAAGAUUACCUGAUUUGUUGUGAAUUUAUCAGUCUAUGGUCUAUGUAGCAAGAAGUUCACUAUCAACUCCACUCAUACCUCAUUUAAUUUUAAAAAAUAUAUCAAAUUAAAUAAUUUUAUAUUGUAAAUACAAUAUUUCUUUUAAAAACUAAUGUAAUCAUUUUAGAAAAAAAAUAUACAUUUCGAGAAAUUCAAUAAUAUCUCAAUUUUUUAAAAUUUUCAUUCCGAUCGAAAGUUUCAAAAUGUAAUAUUCCAUUUCAAAAGUUUUAUUAUUAAAUUUUGUGAAAAAUUAAUGUUUCAAAGAUUCCAAAGUUCCAAAAAAUUAGCAUUUACAAAAUUUUGUUGAAGCUGAAAUUUUAAAAAAUAUUUAACAAAUAUAAUAAACUUUAUUUCUGAAUUUUUAAAUUAAUUAAAAUUUUUGGAAAUUGCAAAAAUCUAAACUCUAAUCAAUCAAUUUUUGAAAUAUUUUAUAUCUGAUUUUUAUUUGGGUUGAAUCUUAAUGUCAAAUUUUAGUUAAAUGUUAUUCAUAAAAAAGUAAAAAACAAAGAGAAAAAUAAAAAGAUCUUUUUAAAUAUAUUAGAGGUGGGAGGCGUAGGUGGGAUGGGAGAGUAGAUUUGUCACAUUCUUUUGGAAAAAAACAAAUGAAAUCUCAAGCCCAAUCCCCUUCUUGAAAAAAGCCCAUCAUACUUUAUUAAAACAAAAACAAACGUAUUUAUAAACCCUAAUUUUGUUCCAAAGCAAAAAAAAAAGUAAAACCCUAAAUCAACGAAACUCAUAAACGAUUCCAGUGAGUUUUUCGAAAGCAUUUCAGUGAAAUUUUCGAUCAAUGAAGACGAAGAAGAAGCAAAAACAAAAAAGUGUUGCAGCUGCAGAAGUUGUUACUCAUGAAGAUUUGGAUUCCACAAUCCAUAACCAUACCCUAUUUUUCGACAAAUUAAUCGAACUCAUUCCAGCGAAAUUCUACCUCCCAACCGAUGAUAACGAGAAGCCAUGGUUUCAAGGUUUAAGCAAAGCUGCAAAAGCAAAAGCAAAGAAACAAACCCAAGAAAACAUCAAAAAGUCGCGAAAAGACCGUUUAGACCCUGAGAAACCGUCUUCAUCAACACUCGAUCUUCUCAAACAAAAUUUAUCAAAACAAAAAGUGACGACUGAUAAUAUCACUGAAGAAAGUGUUACUUACGAAGAAUUACGCGAAAGGCUUCAUCGAAAACUCGAACAAUUUCGUUCAACACGAAACUGUUCUGAUCACGAAAGGAAAAACGAUGAUAAAGAGUUUAAGAGAGGGGUUCAUUUGCAGGAGAAGAAAAGGAGAAGAGAAAGCGAAGGAUUUGGAUCGGGUGAAAGUAAGGAAAUUAAGGUGAAGAAGGAUGAAUUGGAAGAGAAGGUGAAGAAUGAUGCUAUUGAGGCUUCAAAAGAGCUUGUGUUUGGUCAUGUGAAGCUUCAAGACGGUGAAAUUGAUGGGAAUAAGAAGAGGAGAGUUUCGAAGCAAAAGGAGCUUGAGAGGGCUAAGAAGUUGGAGGAAGUGAAGAAGAGUGAUCCUGAGAAAGGUGAAGCUAUUGCGAAGAAGGAAGCGUGGAAAGCGGCGAUGAAUAGAGCCUCGGGGAUUAAGGUUCAUGAUGAUGCUAAAUUGUUGAAGAAGAGUAUAGUGAAGGGGAAGAAGAGGCAGCAGAAGAAUGCGGGGAAAUGGGAGGAGAGGGUUCAAUCAAUGGAUCAGUUGAAGGCGGAGAAACAAAAGAAGAGGUCAGAGAAUAUUGCUGGGAGAAUUAAUGAUAAGAAAAUGAGGAAGAUUGCAAAGAGGGAGAAGAAGUGGAUGAGGCCAGGAUUUGAAGGUCGUAAGCAAGAUUUUAUUACCAAUGGUUCUACUAGUUAACUGCAUGUUUGAAAUCAUGGUGAGUUUCACGAAUUUGUUGAAGCUCAAAAGUGUAACUUUUGCUAAAAUCGUGAUGACAUGCUUCGAUUCUGUCAAACUCAUCGUAGCUAUGAAAUUUAUUGAUUUGUGGCAACAAGUACCUAUCAAUUUCAAUGCAUGAUUUGUAGACUUGAUUAAAUUUAUGAAUUUAUGUUGAAUGUUUUUGAUCCCAUGGUGUAUUUUGGCAAUUAUGCAGCCCUUUUGGAAUUUAAGCAUUUUGCUAAACAGUGGUUAAUUAUAUGUUGGGGUUUAAUCAUAUCAUAUAGCUGAUUUAUCUGUUUACUGGAUUAUGUUAUUUGUGGGAUUUUUUUAUGAGAUUUGAUUCAUUUUCAGCACAUCUUGCAAUUAUUCUUUCAAUUAGAAUGAUUGUUGUAUUUCUUCCAAAGCUGCUUCUGAAUUUGCUGUAGUGGUUACUUGUUGAUACUUUACUACAUAAUGUUCUUAUAUGUUAAACACCACUUUGAAAUAUAUAGUCUCUAAUAACGUGUUUGGAUUUAUGUUCGAAUCACGUCAAAAUAAGUCUCACUCUGGAAGCUACAACAUGUAGCUUCAAUAUUGAUGUGCAUCCGUAUACUUUCAACGCAGGUCCAAACACUCUAAGUGUGCUUUCUGGAUUUCAGUCAGUGUCUACUGUGAAUCCCACAAUCAAGUGAACACUAGUUGGACUCCUUUCACUUUGAUAUACCAUCAUUUGUUAUCUUUUGUAUUCCUUUUCAAUAACCUUUUAUAUCUCCUGAUUUUACUUAUUUAGUUUCACAGCUUAAGCAGCAUCUUAUAUCAUUUAUCUGAGUUUGGCAUGAUUAUUCAGGAUUGCUGAGAGAUUCUUGGUUCGCAAAAUAGUUAUCUAGUUACUUUUGUUAGGAAACAAGCCAAACUAGUGGCUCAUUUGCUGUCUAGGGCUUCUAUACUCUUACCUUGUUGUCAUGAUCUACAUUAUAUUCCUAGUUUUAUUACUGAUAUAUUUUAUAGUGAAAUGCAAUAAGCUUUCUGCUUUCAAAACACUAGAGCUCUAUGUAGAAGUUUUAAAAACAAAUCUGAACUUGAAUUAUGAUUUAAGACCAUUUUAAACAAAAUUAGCCAACAAAAAAAAAGUUCUGGACAAGAGAAUUUACAAUUUUGCCUUACUGAUAUUAGUUUAGAUGGCCUGGAUUCAACUGAUUUCAGGACCCUAGUCCCAGCUAAUAUUAUUAUUGAUAUAAUUACAUGAGAAAUAUUAACUAAACAAAUAUGGUGUUUUGUUACAGUUAGUAAGUCAGAAAGCUAUAUAUCUUACAGUUAGUAAGUCAGAACAGUUAUAUAUCGAUCAGACGUUUCAUAUUUUUAUUUUGGUAAACCAAAUUCAGAAACAAUUCAAAAUGAGCUAUCAAAUAUUCAUCCAAUAUGGUGUUUUGACUGCAUCAAAUCUAUUUCCAAAUUUUAUAUGAUCUCUAGUUAUAGAAUUUGUGAUGAAAUAUAUUCCUGUCUGGCUACAAUAGGAGUUCCUGUCAGAUUCUGGAAAUAGAGACAGCCUAACAGGAAACUUUGUUAAUCAUGUGUCAAUAUUUAUGUCUGCAACUCACCAACACUACAUUGUUCUCAUUUUCUCUACAUGAAUAGGAGCAAGAAACAUUUUUAGAUACUAAAUCGUGUUUAUUACAAGUUGUGAUAAUCUUUUUAGCCCGGGUUUGCUUUCACGUUUGAUGAGUCUUCACCCUUCACCACACGCCGAUGAGCCUGGAGCUCCAAGUUAUUAGAUUUGCUCACACGGUGUAUCUAAAGGAGCUGUCACUGGUUUCAAACAUAGGUUUAAUCAGUCCUAAUUCACAAGGCAUCUAAUUGUUAAACAACAAUAGGUUGGUCUUUAUCUUUGUCCCCUGAGAUAUUCAGUUUAGUCCAUUUGGCAUGCUUUGUCAAAAGUAAAAGAGUUCCAGUUUGACACACCAGUCCACAGAUCACACCAAUCCAUAAACCCUAUAUCAUAAAACAAAUUCAAAAGAAACACAACAAUGAUUAAACAAACCAAUGCAAAAUCAAGAUGAUUCUUUUUGGAAUCAUACACAAACAUAACUAUACCGUGAUUCUGUGAGAUAUUAACUAUUUUACCUUAAAUUGCAAAUUGGUCUUAAACCCAAGGAGACACGAAAUUGGUAAACCAAUGAGAUAAAAAGUUGCAAGGUUGACAUAAACAGCUAAGUGUUGCCAACCACAUCCUCUGGCCACCCCUACAUUAUUGAAGACAUUUUUCUCCCUAAGAUUUUGAUAAUGAUCAUAUUGCAAAGUUUUCAUAUAAACAAUUGAAUAAAGUCUAUUUGUUUAUGUAUAAACUAUUUGUAUAACAAACGAUAGAAUAAAGUCCAUUUGUUUUCAUAUAAGCAAUAAGUUGUUUCUAUAAACUAUUCUUGAGAGCUUAUGAAAACUAGUUGAAAAUAGUUUAUAAACAUGUUAUAAGUGGUUUCUAUAAGUUGUCUCAAACAAACAAGUUAAAGGAGAUGAGAAAUUCAAACCUGAUAAGACACCUUGAACAGAAUCUAGUAGUAUGGAAAUAGCAAGCAGGGGUGUCACAGAAGCAAACUCCUCUUUGAUAGUAGGACUACUACUAAACAGUUGAAUCCAUAAAUCAUGACCAAAUACAAGUAUCAAAACAAAACAGAAACCAAGGAGGAGAGAGAGCUUUAGAGUCACUCCCAUUGCAUGUUUAGCUUUUUCCGGCCGGCCUGCUCCCAAUUCAUUGGAAACCCUUGUGCUAUAAAAGUUAAGUUCAAACUUUUCAACAUGUACAAUAAAAAUGCCUUUAUGAAAGAAAUUGGUAAAUUGGACGUCUCGUAUUUUAAGUUACAUUUUAAAUUCAAUUUGGUAAAUUUAGAAUACGCGUCAUCAAUCUUCAUCCAACCACUAAGAUAUUUUGACUAUGUGCUUUCCUACAUCGUAGGAAAUCCAAGUCCCGAAGGAAAUAUGCAACAAUGCCAAUGAAAGAAAAUAUGUUAGUUUAGACCAACUAACCUUGCAGCUGCACUAAGACCAUAAGUGAUCAUGUAAGCAAUGAAUUCUGUGUUUGCACUGCAUAAUUUGGUUUUUUUUUUGUUGAAGAAUAACAAACAAUAGUGAAUCAUAUGAAUAUUUCUCUCUUAGUUUUAGUAACAGAAAUAUAAAGAUAUAAGAAGCAUACCAUAUUGCAAUCAAUGAAGUUGUGAUUUGUGAGUCAGGCAUUAAUCCAGCUAAGAAAACCAAAACUUCAAAAGCCCAAUACUCCAAACUUGCAUAAUACAAAAUAAAAUAGUAAGAUUCAUAAAUAUAAGGAUCUUAGAUUAAACAACCACAAAAGUCUUAUAGUGUUCAACCUUGAAGCUAAUAUUUUAACAAAAUAUGCUUUCUAAGUAUGUGGUUGGUUCAACCCCCACAAAAAAUUGAUUUUGUAAAAUUAAUUUUGUCUAAAAGUAAGUUGAAUGUGAAAUGAUUUAUGUUGAAUAUAUUCAUAUAAAAGUGAGAUCAGCAAUAAAUUUGAGAUGAAAAAUCAACUUUAGAGGCAAAAGCUCUAAAUUCUACCUUUCAAGUAAAAAUCAAUUCUACUCGAAUACAUUAAAAUAUAUCAAUACCAAUUCUACACCAUUAGAAUCAAUUUUAACUUAUCCAAAAGUGAAAUCAAACAUACACUAAAGUCUAAUAAUCAAAAGGGUCAAAUAAAGUGAAAGGCUUUUAGGAACUCAUACCAUACCAUUGCUGCAGAAGGCAGAGCUAGUUUCAUAUUUGUAAACAAGUAAUGAAAUGAUUGCAUUGAAAAUCCUCUCCAUGUAUUCUUAAACUCCUUUGCAUACAUGACAUAUGAGCUUAACAAUAUCAUUGCAAUCCAUAGUGAAAUAGAAGCUGCAAUUGGUCCACCUAUGAAACUCAAUCCUGUCAAUUGAACAAAUCCAUAUGCAAUGCCAACAUGAACCAAUGCUGGAAAAGCUGAAAGGAUAACCAAUGGCAUUACAACAGACUGUGUUUGUAAAAACCUCAAGAUGUUUUGCAAGAUGCUAUAUGCAAAUAAUCCUGGUACAAGAAACUUCAUAUAGAGUGCUGCUGUUUUAGCUAUGUCUUGAGAUUGAUGGAGAAACACUAGAAUGUGUUCUGUAUAGAACCAAAUAAUGGAUAUAAUGAUUGAAACAAUUAAAGAUAUAAUGCAUGAGCCUUGUAGAUAAAUUCCCAACAUGUGAUAUUCCUUUGCACCAAAUCCUUGUCCACAAAGUGUUUCCAGUGAACCACUUAAACCAACCUGAGACAAGAAGAAUAAGGCAAAGAGCAUAGAGUUUAAUCUUGUAACAACAGUUAGGUCAUGUUUGGAUGAAGAGAUUAAUUAAACACUUAUAACAUAAGCUCUUGCCAUAUAACUACUUAUGUAUAAGUCAUUUCUAUAACAAAAAAAUAAAAUAAAAUAAAACUGUUUUCGUACAAACAAUCAUGGAGAGUUUAUGAAACUAAGCUAAAAACAACUUAUAGACACCUCAAGUUAAAAUAAGCUAAUUCAAACAGACCCGUUAUCGGCACCGUUAAUCACGACCUUCUCGUCCUCUCCGUAGGAAACUAUCUGGGAUAAGUACCACCGUACAUUUACCAAGUUCCACCGUCCAUUCACCGUAGGAAAUAGCAAGAUUUCUAAUUCCACUACCAAUUGAGCUAAUCAUUACCUUUUCUCCCCCCUUUCUACCCAUUAGAAUUAGCGAAUUUUUGCCUUUCGUGGGAAUCGAACCUGUUAUUUGGGGGAUAAAUACCACCGCCCAUUCAUUCCCACUACCAAUUAAGACAUGUCAAACUAAAAUAAGCUAAUUCAAACAUGCCCUUACACUACAUUCAGUUGAACAAGCUUUAAAAUAGUGAUUAUGAUGUGAAGUUUGCAUUAACAUUGAUUUUUGGACAUGGUAAAUGAAGUAAAAAUUCAGGUUUGAAAAUAAAAUCAGAAACAAUAUUUGACAUUUAGAUUUAGAUUGAAAAAAAACUUUACUUUUAAAUUCAGCUGAAUCAAAUGAGAUAAAAAUUCUUAAAUGGUACUACACUAUUAUGUUUAUGAUUCUUCACUCAAAAAAUUAUCCUUAAAUCAGAUAAAAAAUUGUUAUAAACAAGGUUCAAACUUGGAUACUCAUGAUGGAUUCGUCCUUAAUCGAAAACAAGACCACAAUGUUCUAACAUACAUCAUAUCUCCAACCGAAUACAAUCAUUAACCUCUAAUGCAUUUAGAGAAAUUAUUAAAUCAAACAAAAGAACCGUACUACUCCAUUCUAAAAUAUAAGCAAAAAUUAUUAAAUAAGGUGUAGUUAGUCUAAAAACCGAGGGAGUAUGUCAUAUAAUAUAUACAUAUAAAUGUACAUUUCACUUGCAAUUCUUAAAUAAGCAUCUAUGUAAUUAAUUUACUGGAUAUAAUUAAUCACCACAAGUUCAAGAUUUAUUGAAAUCAUCAAGAAAGAGACAUCAAAUAUCAAGUAGAAGUUAUUUAAUAACAUUAUCUUAUAUUUUUCAGUUGACUGAGUCAAAUUAAUGAACAGAACACAUACAAGAAUUGUUCAUAUCAACAUCUAUGGAAGUAAACAAAACAUAAUCAUGAAAAAAGUUGUAAUAAAAUUACCAUGAGUGCCACGCCAGUGACACUAAACCAUGAGUUAGCAAGAGUAGCACCAGCUAAUUGAAGCUCACCAAGGUGACCAACAAGCAUGACAGAAACCAAAGUGAUUAAGUAAUAGAAUAAGUUUGUAAGAAUCAUUGGUAGUGAAAACAGAAGUUGAUGUUUAGCUUCUUCUAUGUCCAAGAUUUUGUCCCACCAAUGGUGUCUUCUGUUCUGUUUUGGCAGUAAUAGAGGUGUUCCUGUGUCAUCUGAAAUGCUAUUUCUAUUUGCCUCCAUCUCAACUAUCUUACUAGAUCUUCACUUCUCUUCCUUCAUCUGUGUUCUAUGUUAUGUUAUGUUAUGAUGAUUUAUGUAUAUAUACACGUCACUAUGUAAGUGUUGUGUGGCUUAUGUACACGUUUAGCCAUGAUAUUUUUAUAUAAAUUCGCCAUGUUUUUUUAUUCUUUAAUAAAGAAGUUGGAUGUAUUAAUUAUUAUGCACAACUUGGCUUAUUUUUAAGAAAAAUUAUGGAAAGACACUCAAAUACCUCAAUGAUAUUUUAGCGAGAAAGAAAUAGCGACUCUGAUAUAUUGGUGAUGUGAUAGAAUGAAAAAGAUAGAGAAAAAAAAUGAGGUGUUAAGUAUCAUGUUUGUACUUUUAAUAUAAAAUGAAGAACUAUUGUAGCUCUUGCUAAAAGUCUUAUUGCGAUGUUAAUUUAUCUUUUAUUAGUAUAUGUAGCGCGACUCGAGUGACCUGAUAGUAAGUGGCUAAUGUGGUUAAUGGGUUUUGGAUAAACUCUGAUACCAUUUUAUAAUUUAAAUUGAGCUUAACACAACUUUACAAAAUCAGCUUGUAAAUGAAAAUUAUGUUGGGAAGUUCGGGGGGGCGGAAGAAGCACUAGACCAAAUGCUCCAAGACCACAAGAGACUUUGAGACCACAUUUCAACAAAAAAUCUUAAAGCGUUAGGUAUAUAGAUAUAUUUCUUAUAUAUUCAACAUUUAGCUCAUUCAUAGUGGAUAUAAGACUUAACCACUCAUACUUAACUCAACAAUUUUCCCCUUAAGAGAUUUUGCGUCGGGAGUAGCAACAUGCCAAAUGUUCUAGGAUCCCUAAGAGAUUUUGACGCUACAUCUCCACCUAAAACCUUAAGACAUUAGGUAAUGGUUCACCACUCUUAUAUAUUCAACAUAUAACUCAUUCUUGGUCAAUAUGAGACUUAACAACUCACACUUGAACUCAACAAUCUCUCCCUCAAUUGUGAGUCUCCCACAUUACUAUACUUGAUUCAAACUAGGAUCAAAACCGUCGAGAGACGCAACAAUUAAAUGAUCCAAAACCACAAGAGACUUUGCCGCCACAUCUCAAUCCAAAACCUUAAGGCAAUGAAUAUAUGGAUCACUUCUCUUAUAUAUAUGUCCAACAUUUAGCUCAUUCAUAGUUGAUUGAGAUUUAACCACUCACACUUAACUUAACAGACUACGCACCACUUAUAAACACUUUGUCAGACCUUAUCUUAUUCAAUGUGAAACUCGUAACACACAUAAUGGUUGUUGUGGUUCACACAUAUUUUAUUUUCUCUCUUUCAUUUUCUCUAUUUCAUCUUAAAUUUAUUUCACUACCAACUUUCUUUCACUUUAAAACACUCAAUAAAUUUCUUAUAAAAAAAACUCAAUAAAUCUAUGAUAUAUAUUAUAUAAGAGAAAAAGAAAGAUAGAAAAAUAAUUUUUGUGAAUGCUAUAUAGUCCCUUGCAAGCAGUUGUAACUUGAUGCAAGUGACAAAACAAGACAAUUUGUCAUGUUUUGGUCUACCUCACCAUCAACCAAUUGUCUAAAGUAGGGUGAGUAAGACCAACUUAAAUAAGGGAAUUGAAAUUUUCACUCCUCCCUAUCCCACAUCUUGAUGGGGUGGUGGACUUAACGUGUCUAUUUAUCAAUAACAAAACACAAUUAAAAUAAAAUCAAAUAUAUUGAUUUUUAGGCGAGUUGACUCUUCAAAAUAGGAAAUCAAAACUCUAAAAUUAAUCGGUUAAAACUAAAAAAUCGUUAUACGGAUAAUAAAACAUAAAAUAGUCUAUUUGAAUUGAAUCAAACAUAAUCUCAAAAUAUUAUAAUUUGAAAAUAAAAUUUUAAAAUGAAUUUGAUGGACCAAUCCAGAUUGCCCUACCACCGUCCCUUUUUACAAUGGGUUAAACGAGGCGAACUAACUUAACUUAACUUGAGUGAUAAGAUCCAAAACCUCAAGCGGCUUCCUAAAAUAAUGAUUUAAAUGGAUUGACCCGUCAUGCUCAAUCUAUUUUACCGUCCUAUGCUAGAUGUUGUGUUGUGAUCGUUGUGGCCUUCCAAUGCAUAUUUUUAUGUCAUUGACAAUUAUAAUAAAAUUUAGAUCAAAUACACCAAUUUUUUAAACUUGUGUUUGCAUAUAAUUGAGACCCAAGUAGUAGUUUUAUAUUUGUACCAUAAAAAAAAUCAUAUUAUGUUUUUUUUUAGUGAAAACAAAUUUAGGAUGAGAGAAUAAUAUUUCCAUCUAAAAUGAAAAACCUUCAAUAACACAAAACUGAUAUUAUACUAGUCACUAGCUCAGUUGGAUGAGAAAAUAGCUGAGUGAAGAGAAUUCACUUAAAGGUGAUUAAUGAUUGGCGAAUUCUAUGAACAUGUUUAUAAAAAUUUAGAAUUUUUCUUUUGUCGGUAAACAGAAUGAUAAAUAAACUUACACACAACUACGAGAUUCUGAGUUAAAAUCCGUGACAUAAUAUUUAAUUUAAUAAACAAUUAACUAAGAUAAAAACUUUAAAAUAUUAAAUAUCAGACAAUAAAAAUAAUGUAACACUCGGUUGUCGGUGGGUGAGGCAUGGUAACAAACUUUCAAUGAAGGUAAAUACGGUUCUUAUGAAUAAAGUGAAUAUACGUUGAAAUGAGAGGGAUGGUAGGACUAUGCAAGUAUGAAUCUGCAUAGUAAAGAUCUAUUGACUAGUAGCAACACUAAUAUAAAUGAAAUGCAUAUUGUAUCUUAAUAAUGAUACUCAGAAUCAUAUAAAAAAAUUAACUGUAUAUUAAAAUGUGACAUGAAAAUUGUAUGAACUAUUUGGUUUUAAUUCCACUCUCCCAUUUUCUAUCAUCAUCCUAACAGUUAAAAGUAGUAGGAAACUAUGAAUUACGUAUAAACAUGAUUGGAAUGAGCUUAUACCAAACUAAAAGGCAUUAUUGAAAUGGUAAUUUAUUUUCCACUUAAGCAUUUACUUACAAAUGCAAUUAAUGUGCAUUUCCAAGCUUAUAAUAAAAAAGCUUGUCAAUGCUAAAAGGCCAAAUUAAAAAACACAAAGCAUACACAAAUUAUUGUGCACAUAUGCUUAAUUAGAAUAUUGAUAAGAAACAUAAAAGGGAAACAAAUUAACAUUAAAUAACCAAAGAAAGUAAUUUGCAAUGGAGUUACAUGUCAAUCUUUCUUUUCUUCAACCUUUUCUUCUUUUUUUUCUUCAACCUUUUCUUCUUUCUUAGCUUCUUUCACUUCCUUGACUGCCUUCACCUUAGCCUUCCCUGCCUUUGGCUUCAUGAAACAAAAGCAUGAGCAGCAAGGACACUGGAACAAGAACUUCAUUUCCAAUCAAGUGCUCAGAUCUCAAUUUCUGAACAGAGAAUGAAAAUGUUCAGCUUUUCUGUCCUCUUUUUAUCUCCUUUCUUGCUUAAUAAUUUAUAUAUUUAAUUCUCUUUUGUCUUUUACUUUUUCCUCUAUUUUUUCUUAGUAUACAAUCAAUUAUGUAUUUAAAUGUGUAAG
rnacentral:lncRNA from 1 species